AGCAAUGACCUGCAAGGAGCACGCAGCUGUAACCCAGGUGCCCAAAGGGUCGGCUGGAUGCAAUGAUCCGGUGGCCCUCAGCCCAACCCCUGGGUGCCCAGACAGUGUUCUCCUGCCACGCCAAGCUGGGGGCGGGGGUUGGGGGUGGGGGGAGGCGUGUCCACGACGCCUCUGGAGCAUCCUGACCUAGAGUAGCGCCUUGAACUUGCAACACUGCGGAGACCUCCGCUCCCAGACGGGCAUGCCUCGGAGGGAAGAGUCAAGUGGGGCCGGCGGGAGGAGAUGCCGAGAGGCUCCAGGAAAACAUGAAACGGAAAAAGGCCCAGAAGGGAAGGACACGGAUGGUCAGACUCUCGGAGCAGUGCUUCAAUAGAGUGGGGUUUGGCUCCCGGAAGGCGGAAGGCAGGCGAGCCAACGCGCAAAGUGUGCCUGGGAGCCUGGAGAUUUCCCAACCCACGGGAGUUUCCCACCGUUGCAAGGCAGAGAAAGGGACGCAGUGGCCCGGCCUGCAGUGCCCUGCAGCAUAUUUUUUUCUAGUGCAAGAUGACAGCUGUCUAUUUGAAGACUUAUUUCAUGAUUAGUGUUUGCACUGAAGUGGGGCACCCUUCAGGAAAACUCUAACCCAGCUCAUCUGGAUCCCUGAGGCAUCCACGCUGGCAGCAGGAAGACAUUCCUUGUUAUCAAACUUAUGGGAAUAGAGGCUACCAUGGCCCAGACUUUGACCUUAACCCUUAAUUUCUAAACUGUGGAAGAAGUUUUACUUCCUCUUGUUUUCAGUAAGCAAGAGCAAAUAAUCCCAAACCAUGCCAUCCUUUCUGAGAAGCUCUGAAAUUGAAUGUCUGGGUAACCCUAACAAUCGGUGCAGCUAAUGCAGUUUAUAACCGGACUCCAUAAGUGGGGAGUGUGACCUGCUGGAAAUCUAACAGGAUUUCUGUAUUUUCUGUGGUCUUGUUGCUGCAGAAGCAGACUGCUUCAUUUCCUCCUCUAUCCCAGGUGAUGGACAGACUCUUCUACCCCUGCAUGAUGGAAUUUCAGCGGAGAAAUGCAUGAUGGUGGGGGGGGGGGGGGGGGGCUCUCACUGAGUUGAGAAUAGGAGAUAAAAACACCUCAAAUCCAUUUGGUUGAAUUCUACUGUCAUUUUCAUUAAUAUUUCAUUAAUCAAAUCAUUUACUUUAAUUGAGAGUUUGGUUACCAUUGUCCCAUAAAUAUUAAAUACUAUUAAUGUGGUGUUCACCUAAGUAGGAAUGGGAUAAAAUAAAAAUGCAACACAGAUAAGAA